rnacentral:rRNA from 1 species
CCUACGGGUGGCAGCAGUAGGGAAUAUUGGUCAAUGGACGAAAGUCUGAAGCAGCAACGCCGCGUGAAGGAUGAAGGUUUUAGGAUUGUAAAACUCUUUUGUGAGAGAAGAUAAUGACGGCAUGUCACCAAUUAGCACUGUCCUAUUCCGUUCCAGCAGCCGUAGUAAUACGGAGGUGGCAAGCGUUACGCGGAAUCACUGGUCGUAAAGCGUGCGCAGGUGGGCUUGUAAGUCAGAUGUGAAAUGCUGUGGCUGAACUAUAGAAUUGCAUUUGAAACCGUGAGUCUAGAGUGUAGGAGAGGUAGGUGGAAUUCUUGGUGUAGGGGUAAAAUCCGUAGAUAUCAAGAGGAACACUGAUUGCGAAGGCGGCCUACUGGAACGUUACUGACGCUGAUGCUCGAAAGCGUGGGUAGCAAACAGGAUUAGAUACCCUAGUAGUC